ACGACGAUGCCAAACACUUACAGAUGGUCACGGAUUCGUCGAGUGACGAGCACACGCCCUCCUCCCGCCACCACCACAUACAACAGAAAACCUCUGCGAACGGGCAGUUGCAGCUCUCGCUCGCUCCCUCGAUCACGCGCACCUCGCCGCAGCAGCUGCAGCCCGGCCUGCAGAUCAACCAGAUCGGAGCGGCGCUAGCCGGCAGCGAUCGCCAACCGAACAAGUGAGCCAGGUGCUGCUGCAGAACAAGCUCGCUCAGCAGGUGCCGCCGGUCUCCUGCAUCACGGGUCUGCAUCAACUCGGACCGCAGGAGCUGCAGCAGCUUCAGCAGCAGCUGCAGGCCACCGCGCAGAACCUACAGAAUCUGCAGCAGCUGCAGCAGUUUGUGUUCCUCAACCCACACC